rnacentral:lncRNA from 1 species
UCGAAUCAAAAAGGUGCCUGACUCGAAUUAAAAUCCAAGAGUCUUUCCUCUUGAUUUGAAUAUAAACCUCUUACUCGAAUCAAAUGGCCUCAAUUUUUUUUAAAAUUUGCAUGUGACUUUUAGUUUUGCCCAUAUAAGAUCAUCUUCGACCGCAUGAGCUAUCUUUAAGCGAUAAGAACUUCAUUAUAUAUUGUUGAUAUCAGAUGUUGUCAUCAUCAAAACCAAAUCAGAAAAAAUCACUAAAG